CUGUUGUUGAGAGGCAGCCUGCGGUGG
rnacentral:sRNA from 1 species